rnacentral:rRNA from 1 species
AGAGGAAGUAAAAGUCGUAACAAGGUUUUCCGUAGGUGAACCUGCGGAAGGAUCAUUACUGAGUGAGGGCCCUCUGGGUCCAACCUCCCACCCGUGUUUAUUGUACCUUGUUGCUUCGGUGCGCCCGCCUCACGGCCGCCGGGGGGCUUCUGCCCCCGGGUCCGCGCGCACCGGAGACACCAUUGAACUCUGUCUGAAGAUUGCAGUCUGAGCAUAAACUAAAUAAGUUAAAACUUUCAACAACGGAUCUCUUGGUUCCGGCAUCGAUGAAGAACGCAGCGAAAUGCGAUAACUAAUGUGAAUUGCAGAAUUCAGUGAAUCAUCGAGUCUUUGAACGCACAUUGCGCCCCCUGGUAUUCCGGGGGGCAUGCCUGUCCGAGCGUCAUUGCUGCCCUCAAGCACGGCUUGUGUGUUGGGCUCCGUCCCCCCGGGGACGGGUCCGAAAGGCAGCGGCGGCACCGAGUCCGGUCCUCGAGCGUAUGGGGCUUUGUCACCCGCUCUGUAGGCCCGGCCGGCGCCAGCCGACAACCAAUCAUCCUUUUUUCAGGUUGACCUCGGAUCAGGUAGGGAUACCCGCUGAACUUAAGCAUAUCAAU